GGGUCGUGAUCGUAACGGCAGCGGACCUGACUUUUAAUCAGGGAGUGAGUGUUCGACUCCCUCAGAAACCU
rnacentral:tRNA from 1 species